GAUGAAGAACGUAGCGAAAUGCGAUAAGUAAUGUGAAUUGCAGAAUUCAGUGAAUCAUCGAAUCUUUGAACGCACAUUGCGCCCGCCAGCAUUCUGGCGGGCAUGCCUGUCCGAGCGUCAUUUCAACCCUCGAACCCCUCCGGGGGGUCGGCGUUGGGGAUCGGCCCUUUACGGGGCCGGCCCCGAAAUACAGUGGCGGUCUCGCCGCAGCCUCUCCUGCGCAGUAGUUUGCACACUCGCAUCGGGAGCGCGGCGCGUCCACAGCCGUUAAACACCCCAAACUUCUGAAAUGUUGACCUCGGAUCAGGUAGGAAUACCCGCUGAACUUAAGCAUAUCAAUAAGCGGAGGA
rnacentral:misc_RNA from 1 species